UACGUAGGGUGCAAGCGUUGUCCGGAAUUAUUGGGCGUAAAGAGCGUGUAGGCGGCCCGAUUAGUCUGCUGUGAAAGUCCAGGGCUCAACCCUGGAAUGCCGGUGGAUACUGGCGGGCUAGAGUCCGGAAGGGGCGAGUGGAAUUCCUGGUGUAGCGGUGAAAUGCGCAGAUAUCAGGAGGAACACCAAUGGCGAAGGCAGCUCGCUGGGACGUGACUGACGCUGAGACGCGAAAGCGUGGGGAGCAAACAGG
rnacentral:rRNA from 1 species